GUUUGACAAUAAAACCCUAGGGUGGAGAAUAACCCAAAACCUCUGCGAAUCUCUUGCUCUGUGUAUGUUUGUGUGUGAGUAAAACUGAAGAAUAAAAUCGAAAAGAAUAGAAAAAAAUGGUGAUAGAAAGUUACGUGGUCGUGCACAACAUUGCGAAGAGGCACAACGUGGGCACUCUGGCACGAAGUGCCACCGCAUUUGGUGUGACGGAGCUCAUACUCGUUGGCCGCAGGGACUUCAACGCUUUUGGUAGCCAUGGCUCCACCUCUCCCCUCCGAUUCCGCCAUUUGCACUCUCUCC
rnacentral:misc_RNA from 1 species